UCCAGCAAAAACCCUUUGUAUUUGCUGGCGAUCCGGACUCAUGGAUGAGGUGACACGUUGGUGACGUCAUCAUCACCCUCUUCAUCCCAAUCCCAGAUGGUCGGGGAUAUUCUUUCCUUUCCCUCCAAGAAUAGAAUCUCUUCUCUUAAUUCCUGUCAUUGGACGGAAACGAGUGGACCGAUUCUUCAUCUUUAACUCGGCGACGGUAACCUCAUCUGCUAAGUCGAGGCCAGGAGCAAAGUAAGAACUCGAGAUGGCUUUCCUUUCGAACUCUCUCCUUUCAAUAUUCAUAUGCAAUUCUGUAGUCAACCCUCCCCAUUUCCAGGAGGAGGCAAGCUGCUGCAUUCUCAAAUAACGACGGUGGAACCUCCAACCGAACAUAUUUCUCUCUUGAGGUAAGGGGAUUUAGUUGACCAUCCCUUACAAAGUGUUUGGUCCCAUAAGCCAUAUCAAGAUUAGUGUGCUAAGCAUAGAUUUAUUUUCCAGAUAAAAAAACCUUGUCGAUAACGCCUCCGUUUGCCGCCCUUCCGUUCGUCGCGUUUAGAUUUCCAGGUUGAUUCAAAUGAUCCAAAGCAGUGAGAUAGAUUCGAACAAAGGUCAUGAAGCUUUUCCUUGUCAUAGAUUUUUGGUUCCUGUCAAGUUGGGAUAGAUUCGAUGGUCGCCGGAAUCCCGAGCUCUGACCAGAGAUUGGGCGAAAUCCCAGUUUCUGGGAAUAAGGAGAUGACUUGGAAAAAUUACCGUCUCGAUCCCGGUAAUUUUCGUAACCACGUUUUGGUCACAAGAGUUAUAGGAUUUGAAUUGUAGUCACUGGAUUUUCAGAGAUCAAGAUUUCAUAUUUAGUAAUAAGGAUAGAGUACCUAUAUCUCCUGUAAUUACCUUACAAAUAUAUAACUUUUAAAAACGGCCAGUUCAGUCAUAUACCUCCCCUUGUUACUGCCGCGGCUAGUAAAUUUAGGAAUGUGACAGAACGAACCCAUAUAACCUUCUGAGUAGUUCAAUAUGAUACGAAAUCCGGUUUAUUUAUCAAGCGUAAAUUAGUUUGAACUUAGAUACAAUUCCUUAUAGUUUUAAUUGAUAAUAAAUUAAGAAUAUCAUGAUUUGAUUAUGGAUAGAGGUUGUAAUUAAUGAGAAUUU
rnacentral:lncRNA from 1 species